GGACGGGUGAGGAAUACAUCGGAAUCUACUCUGUCGUGGGGGAUAACGUAGGGAGACUUACGCUAAUACCGCAUACGACCUACGGGUGAAAGUGGGGGACCGCAAGGCCUCACGCGAUUGAAUGAGCCGAUGUCGGAUUAGCUAGUUGGCGGGGUAAAGGCCCACCAAGGCGACGAUCCGUAGCUGGUCUGAGAGGAUGAUCAGCCACACUGGAACUGAGACACGGUCCAGACUCCUACGGGAGGCAGCAGUGGGGAAUAUUGGACAAUGGGCGCAAGCCUGAUCCAGCCAUACCGCGUGAGUGAAGAAGGCCCUCGGGUUGUAAAGCUCUUUUGUUGGGAAAGAAAUCCUGUUGGCUAAUACCCGGCGGGGAUGACGGUACCCAAAGAAUAAGCACCGGCUAACUUCGUGCCAGCAGCCGCGGUAAUACGAAGGGUGCAAGCGUUACUCGGAAUUACUGGGCGUAAAGCGUGCGUAGGUGGUUGCUUAAGUCUGUCGUGAAAGCCCUGGGCUCAACCUGGGAAUUGCGAUGGAUACUGGGCGACUAGAGUGUGGUAGAGGGUGGCGGAAUUCCCGGUGUAGCAGUGAAAUGCGUAGAGAUCGGGAGGAACAUCCGUGGCGAAGGCGGCCACCUGGGCCAACACUGACACUGAGGCACGAAAGCGUGGGGAGCAAACAGGAUUAGAUACCCUGGUAGUCCACGCCCUAAACGAUGCGAACUGGAUGUUGGGUUCAACUUGGAACCCAGUAUCGAAGCUAACGCGUUAAG
rnacentral:rRNA from 1 species